rnacentral:rRNA from 1 species
AUAUCAAUAAGCGGAGGAAAAGAAACUAACAAGGAUUCCCCUAGUAACGGCGAGUGAAGCGGGAUGAGCUCAAAUUUAAAAUCUGGCUGGUUUACUAGUCCGAAUUGUAGUUUAUAGAAGCGUUUUCGGUGGCAGCCUGGGUAUAAAUCCUUUGGAAUAGGGUAUCAUAGAGGGUGAGAAUCCCGUCUUUGACUGGGAGUUUGCCGCGUACGAUAGGUUGUCUACGAGUCGAGUUGUUUGGGAUUGCAACUCUAAAUGGGAGGUAAAUUUCUUCUAAAGCUAAAUAUCAGCGAGAGACCGAUAGCGCACAAGUA